rnacentral:rRNA from 1 species
GGACGAACGCUGGCGGCGUGCUUAACACAUGCAAGUCGAGCGGGACAGAUCGGAUGAGAGCUUCGGCAGGAUUCGGGUUGUUCGAGCGGCGGACGGGUGAGUAACGCGUGAGCAAUCUGUCCCAGACAGGGGGAUAACACUUGGAAACAGGUGCUAAUACCGCAUAAGACCACGACGUCGCAUGGCGUUGGGGUAAAAGGAGCGAUCCGGUUUGGGGUGAGCUCGCGUCCGAUUAGCUAGUUGGCGAGGUAACGGCCCACCAAGGCGACGAUCGGUAGCCGACCUGAGAGGGUGAUCGGCCACAUUGGAACUGAGACACGGUCCAAACUCCUACGGGAGGCAGCAGUGGGGAAUAUUGGGCAAUGGGCGAAAAAGCCUGACCCAGCAACGCCGCGUGAGGGAAGAAGGUUUUCGGAUUGUAAACCUCUGUCCUCAGGGACGAAGGAAGUGACGGUACCUGAGGAGGAAGCCCCGGCUAACUACGUGCCAGCCGCAGC